UAGUUUUGUUUAGAUGUGUAUUUUGCACUCUCGCAGAAAUUUCGUGAUAUCUUUUAAUUCCUUGUAGUUGUUUUGUUCGAGUAUUUGAUUGAGAGGUUUGUUGUCAUGGAGAAUUUGUUGAACAAGCGGUCUUUUGUCAUGCAGUGACCGGAUCGGAUUCUGGACAUUGUUACCUUUUCCAGGGUGGAUAGUGGGAUUCCUUUGCACCAAGUGUUUCUACCGGGUUUUUUUGCGAACUGGUAGUGGAAUGCUCCUUUGGUCGUCGAUUGGAUGUGAGUACUUCGAAGUUGUUUUGCUUACCCUUGGUGGUUUGUAAAGCUGCUUGAUCUGCGAGUUCGUUGCCGGUAACUCCCACGUGACUAGGUAUCCACUGUAUUUUUAUUUGGUUCAUGCGAUGUUCCUGUCUAAGUAUAUUGAUUUCGUAUACAAUGUGAUUCGUGAACGUUUUUCCGAUAUUUUUUAAAGCUUCA